CUCGUAAUCACUAUAGAGGCUCGCCAUCCUGGCAGCAGAACUGGGGUUCACCCAGAAGUAACCAAUUCAGGGUCAGGAUAGUCGAUAGCCCAACCACCGGGGAGAGGGGAGGAAGUAAAAAAGGGGGCUCACCCCUGGUAGACACUCUUAGUGAAUGUAUACCAAUAACAAUUCGGAAAGGAGCACCCUGCACUGAGUUAACAGUUAAGGGCUA